UACAGAGGGGGCAAGCGUUGUUCGGAAUUACUGGGCGUAAAGGGCGCGUAGGCGGCCCGCUAAGUCGAACGUGAAAUCCCCGGGCUCAACCCGGGAACUGCGUCCGAUACUGGUGGGCUUGAAUCCGGGAGAGGGAUGCGGAAUUCCAGGUGUAGCGGUGAAAUGCGUAGAUAUCUGGAGGAACACCGGUGGCGAAGGCGGCAUCCUGGACCGGUAUUGACGCUGAGGCGCGAAAGCCAGGGGGAGCAA
rnacentral:rRNA from 1 species